GGGAUGGACUCGCGAUGCUCUAGAUUCGCGGCCUAUCAGCUUGUUGGUGAGGUAAUGGCUCACCAAGGCGACGACGGGUAGCCGGCCUGAGAGGGUGACCGGCCACACUGGGACUGAGACACGGCCCAGACUCCUACGGGAGGCAGCAGUGGGGAAUAUUGCACAAUGGGCGAAAGCCUGAUGCAGCGACGCCGCGUGAGGGAUGACGGCCUUCGGGUUGUAAACCUCUUUCAGUAGGGAAGAAGCGAAAGUGACGGUACCUGCAGAAGAAGCGCCGGCUAACUACGUGCCAGCAGCCGCGGUAAUACGUAGGGCGCAAGCGUUAUCCGGAAUUAUUGGGCGUAAAGAGCUCGUAGGCGGUUUGUCGCGUCUGCCGUGAAAGUCCGGGGCUCAACUCCGGAUCUGCGGUGGGUACGGGCAGACUAGAGUGAUGUAGGGGAGACUGGAAUUCCUGGUGUAGCGGUGAAAUGCUGAGACAGCAGGAGGAACACCGGUGUCGACCGCACGUCGGUGGGAUUUAACUGAGUAGGAGGAGGGACGCUGGAGAAGUAGAAGAAUAGGGUGUCGGAGAG
rnacentral:rRNA from 1 species